UCUUUUUCCAUCUCAUUGUAAAGAAAACAUUUACAUGAAAGGUAUGAGUUUUUUGAACUCAGGCAGUACUAAUAAUGGAAGGGAAAGACCAAAAGAUGUUGAUCUGCAGAGACCACCCAAGUUUUAUUACCAUGCCAAAUGUACUAGGUCCAGCUUUUGCUUUUGAAAGAAAAUGGUCGAUAUGAACUUCUCCAACCAACGGAAGUUCCCCACGAGGUUAUCUGUCAAUCUUCCUACAUUUCGAGAGAAACCUUCCUAGGCAGAGUAUAUUGAGAUUCUAGAAUCUCAUGUAAAUUUCUAGGGUAUAUGAGUAACUACAAUAUCUACUAUUGUCCCAACAUCAGGAAUGCUGGUAAUAAGCAGUUGCUCCAUUGAUGCCUGAUCUGCUUAAAGGAUUGAUUGUCAACAGAGCAGCAGUUAUUUACGG
rnacentral:misc_RNA from 1 species